CAGCGUGACCUUCCAGUGCGGCUGCCCGGGGAAGGCUGCGAGGAGCUGAGCAGAAACGACCGGGAGCUUAAAACACGACGCUUCCGAGGGGGCCGAUUUAUCAACAAUAAACCCACCGUAAAUGGGUUUAUUACCGCAACAGUUUUUACUCUCGCCACUCCCGUUUACUUGGAGCGAUUGUUGUGGAUGGAUCGUUUUAUUCACGUCUCACCGAGAAGCCUUAACAACGCCCCGUCAGCAGCGGCAGCCAUAGCUCCGUCAUUGACGCUGGAGGAUUCUGCAAUCUGCUCCUGCAAUGGCCGUCUUUAGUCACCAGGUGCUCCUUGCGGUCACACGAUCAAGGGGAUCAUAUUUGUUAUCCAAGAGGCAAAGCUGCUCAUCUCUGUCUUCCAAAGCGUAUCUCCACAUAGAUCCUCCUCGUCACAACUCAUCCUUGCUCACUCUCAGGCACUCCCGCUAUGGUUACCCACACUGUUACCGAGGCCAUGCCCUCGGCCGUAACCACAACUCCGCCCUGC